rnacentral:rRNA from 1 species
UACGAAGGGGGCUAGCGUUGCUCGGAUUGACUGGGCGUAAAGAGCUCGUAGGCGGUUUGUCGCGUCGGCUGUGAAAUCCUGGGGCUUAACUCCGGGCCUGCAGUCGAUACGGGCAGACUUGAGUGUGGUAGGGGAGACUGGAAUUCCUGGUGUAGCGGUGAAAUGCGCAGAUAUCAGGAGGAACACCGGUGGCGAAGGCGGGUCUCUGGGCCAUUACUGACGCUGAGGAGCGAAAGCGUGGGGAGCGAACAGG